GAGUUUACCGAAGCAUUCCGAUCUUUCUUAUCAUUACACAAGACGCCAUUAAUUUACAAGAACAAUCUUGUCUCUUGGCUCCAUAAACGAAACAAAGAAAUAACAAGAUACUAAAAUACAACCAUCAUCACAAUGGCCGGUAGAGACGAUCCAGGUAAAUUUUUUGUUGGAAACCUCAGUUGGAACACAGACAAUGAUGUGUUGUGGAGGUACUUCAGUAGAUAUGGAGAACUGAGUGAUGCAGUUGUCAUCAUGGACAGACAGACAGGAAGAUCAAGGGGGUUUGGUUUUGUCACUUUCCGUGAUCCACAAUGUGUAGAUGAAGUACUCCAUGAAGGACAGCAUACAAUUGAUGGCAGACAGGUGCUUCCCUAAAGAAAAAUAUGCCUGUCGGAGACGAAGGAGAAAGAACAAGGCAAUAUCAAGCUACGUGUUUUAGCUUAACAGCAACGAAGGGUGAAUGCCAGACCCUGUAACAACAACAACAGAUAGGCAGGAUUUGAAGAGGAACAGUCAAAUGUUAAUACUAGCUGUUAACUAACAGAAAACAUUAUAUCAUAACUUAUUAUAUGUUGAAAAAUCAUGUUUCUAUUCAUGUUUUAAUUUGUGUGCCACCUAUAUUUUUAUCAUAAUUUAUAAAUUUUAGACUGAAAAUUUUAUUAUCUUUAUGCUCUUUUAUACAGUAUACUGUAGUUAUUUUUUUUAUGUACAAGUGUCUGUAUGAGAUCCAAUUUCAUGAAUUCAGGUACCUUAUUAACAACAUUUGUUACAAUAAAUCAGAAAAACUAGAUCAUUCUCAAAUUUGUUUAUUAUUGUACCGUUCAAAGCUUUUUCCCCUGAGUUAUUUUGUUUAACAUUUUCAAUCCUUAGAUUUGGAUCUAUCACAUGACUCAGUGAGUGAGUUACACUAGAAAUUGACACUUGAAAAAUCUCAACUUAUAUCAUUGAAUUCAGAUUUUUUUUACAAUUUGCAACGAAAUUUGGGAAUUUGCGAAGUGACUUAAAAAGUGUUAAAUUUUGGAAAGUAGUAUACAUUGUACUUACAAAUCAAUUAGUUAUGUAGUUUGAAAACAAUCAAAUGUUUUUUUAUUUUCUUAUGAGAAAGUCUUCUGUAUUAUUGAAUUGAUACCCAAAUGAACUUUGAAGAUUCAAGUCAUCUUUAUAUACUUUCAUCUCGGGUACUGAAUGAAAGCUCACUCACUCAUUUAGAUUUUUUUUUAAGAAAGCAUUUAUAUAUAUACAUUAUCUUUGUGCAUCAUUGUCUUAAAAAAGUAAAGUUUUAAAUCUUAUAA